rnacentral:rRNA from 1 species
CCUACGGGUGGCAGCAGUAGGGAAUAUUGCUCAAUGGGGGCAACCCUGAAGCAGCAACGCAGCGUGGAGGAUGAAGGUUUUAGGAUUGUAAACUCCUUUUGUUAGAGAAGAUAAUGACGGUAUCUAACGAAUAAGCACCGGCUAACUCCGUGCCAGAAGCCGCGGUAAUACGGAGGGUGCAAGCGUUACUCGGAAUCACUGGGCGUAAAGAGCGCGUAGGCGGGUUAGUAAGUCAGAUGUGAAAGCCUUUGGCUUAACCAUAGAACUACAAUUGAUACUGUUAGUCUAGAGUAUGGGUGAGGUAGGUGGAAUUCUUGGUGUAGGGGUAAAAUCCUUAGAGAUCAAGAAGAAUACUCAUUGCGAAGGCGACCUGCUAGAACAUAACUGACGCUGAUGCGCGAAAGCGUGGGGAGCAAACAGGAUUAGAUACCCCUGUAGUC